UCUGGUUGAUCCCGCCGGACCCUACUGCUAUCGGGUGAAGACUAAGCCAUGCGAGUUUUGCAUCUCCUAGCCAUGUUGGAGACGCAGCGUACGGCUCCGUAACACGUAGUUAAUCUGCCCUUGGGACAAGAAUAACCCUGGGAAACUGGGGCUAAUUCUCGAUAGGCGCAGUGGCCUGGAAUGGUACUGCACCCAAAAGACUUCAGGAACAUGCUUCUGGAGUCGCCCAAGGAUGAGACUGCGGCCGAUCAGGUUGUUGGUGGGGUAACGGCCUACCAAGCCUAUAACCGGUACGGGCCCUGAGAGGGGGAGCCCGGAGAUGGGAACUGAGACAAGGUCCCAGGUCCUACGGGGCGCAGCAGGCGCGAAAACUCCACAAUGUGCGAAAGCAUGAUGGGGUUAACCCGAGUGCCGUCCGAUGAGGAUGGCUUUUCUUCAUUCUAAGGAUCUGAUGGAAUAAAGGGGGGGCAAGACUGGUGUCAGCCGCCGCGGUAAUACCAGCCCCCUGAGUGGUAGGGACGAUUAUUUGGCCUAAAGCGUCCGUAGCCCGUUUGGUAAGUCUUUCGUUAAAUCCGACGAUUCAAUCGCUGGCCCGCGGAAGAGACUGCCAGACUUGAGGACGGGAGAGGUCGACGGUAGUCCCGGGGUAGGGGUGAAAUCCUAUAAUCCUGGGAGGACCACCAGUGGCGAAGGCGGUCGACUAGAACGUGCCUGACGGUGAUGGACGAAAGCUGGGGGAGCGAACCGGAUUAGACACCCGGGUAGUCCCAGCUGUAAACGAUGCGAGCUAGGUGUUGGGGCAACUACGAGUUGCUCCAGUGCCGCAGAGAAGUUGUUAAGCUCGCCGCCUGGGAAGUACGGCCGCAAGGCUGAAACUUAAAGGAAUUGGCGGGGGAGCAC
rnacentral:rRNA from 1 species